CUACGGGUCGCAGCAGUGAGGAAUAUUGCACAAUGGGGGGAACCCUGAUGCAGCAACGCCGCGUGGAGGAUGACGCAUUUCGGUGUGUAAACUCCUUUUAUAUGUCAAGAAAAUGACGGUAGCAUAUGAAUAAGCACCGGCUAACUCCGUGCCAGCAGCCGCGGUAAUACGGAGGGUGCAAGCGUUACUCGGAAUCACUGGGCGUAAAGGAGCGCGUAGGCGGGUUGGAAAGUCAGGUGUGAAAUCCUACAGCUUAACUGUAGAACUGCACUUGAAACUUCUAAUCUAGAGUAUGGGAGGGGGAGAUGGAAUUAGUGGUGUAGGGGUAAAAUCCGUAGAUAUCACUAGGAAUACCUAAAGCGAAGGCGAUCUCCUGGAACAUUACUGACGCUAAGGCGUGAAAGCGUGGGGAGCAAACAGGAUUAGAUACCCUAGUAGUC
rnacentral:rRNA from 1 species